rnacentral:rRNA from 1 species
GACAGAGGGUGCAAACGUUGCUCGGAAUUACUGGGCGUAAAGCGUGCGCAGGCGGUUAUUUAAGACCAGUGUGAAAUCCCCGGGCUUAACCUGGGAACUGCAUUUGUGACUGCAUAGCUAGAGUACGGUAGAGGGGGAUGGAAUUCCGCGUGUAGCAGUGAAAUGCGUAGAUAUGCGGAGGAACACCGAUGGCGAAGGCAAUCCCCUGGACCUGUACUGACGCUCAUGCACGAAAGCGUGGGGGGCAAACAGG